GGUCCCAUGGUGUAAUGGUCAGCACUCAGGACUCUGAAUCCUGCAAUCUGAGUUCAAAUCUCAGUGGGACCC
rnacentral:tRNA from 1 species